rnacentral:rRNA from 1 species
GAUGAACGCUAGCGGCAGGCCUAACACAUGCAAGUCGAGGGAGGAGCCUUCGGGCUUCGACCGGCGUACGGGUGCGUAACGCGUAUACAAUCUGCCUUUCACAUAGGGAUAGCCCGAAGAAAUUUGGAUUAAUACCUAAUGGUAUAUAGGGGUGGCAUCACAUUUAUAUUAAAGCUGAGGCGGUGAAAGAUGAGUAUGCGUUCUAUUAGCUAGUUGGAGAGGUAACGGCUCCCCAAGGCUACGAUAGAUAGGGGUUCUGAGAGGGAUAUCCCCCACACUGGUACUGAGAUACGGACCAGACUCCUACGGGAGGCAGCAGUGAGGAAUAUUGGACAAUGGUCGGAAGACUGAUCCAGCCAUGCCGCGUGCAGGAAGACGGCCUUAUGGGUUGUAAACUGCUUUUGCAGGGGAAGAAUAAGGACUACGAGUAGUUUGAUGACGGUACUCUGCGAAUAAGCAUCGGCUAACUCCGUGCCAGCAGCCGCGGUAAUACGGAGGAUGCGAGCGUUAUCCGGAAUCAUUGGGUUUAAAGGGUCCGUAGGCGGGCUAAUAAGUCAGAGGUGAAAGCGCUCAGCUCAACUGAGCAACUGCCUUUGAAACUGUUAGUCUUGAAUGGUUGUGAAGUAGUUGGAAUGUGUAGUGUAGCGGUGAAAUGCUUAGAUAUUACACAGAACACCGAUAGCGAAGGCAUAUUACUAACAAUUAAUUGACGCUGAUGGACGAAAGCGUGGGGAGCGAACAGG